rnacentral:misc_RNA from 1 species
UAUUGCUCCAUCUCCACGGGACAAAGCACCAUACUUUGCCUGGCUGUCUAUUCGAACUGGGGGGGCUUUUACACCAAGUUUCUUUGCUAUCAAACUAGAUAGGUCAUGCAAAGAAUGUGCUGCUUCAAAAGAUUCAAAAAAAGAUGCCUCUUCAGGGUUGUCUAAAUCAGUUACAUGCACCUUUAUUGGUGUAGAGCCAUCAAGAGACUGCAUAUAAGUUCCAGAACCAACUUGGGCAUAAAAAAGGCAACCAACUUUGUCUUGAUCAUCCUGUAGAUUGUGGGAGGCAAGAGAAGAUAAUGGAAGAUUUGGACAGGCUAAGACGCCCAAAACCACCUUCCCUUCAUCUAGCAAUCCCAAUGCAAUUGCAUAUUGGUCUCCCCUUAGAAACCCUUUAGUACCAUCAAUAGGAUCCAACACCCAGUGCUGACCAGAAGGACCCCCUUCAGAUCUACCACUAUCAAUGGCAGCAAGGACAUCUUCUUCAGAUAAUGGGGCAGUACCAUAUGUUCCAUCACUAGCAAGUGUUUCAUUGACAAGCUUCAUGAUACGCUGUAAUGUUGAUUUUCCCUCUUCAUUACGAAGGUCUCCAGAGUCCUCCUCAGCCACUAAUGAAAAUGAAGCAGAACACAACUCUUUCUGCAAAACAACGCUAACCACGGCCUGUGAGCCAUAAUCAGCCACCGUCACUGGAGAUUUGUCAGACUUUGAUUGAACAUCUGCUUGCAACAGUGCUUUUUGGACUUUUUGACAAAGGCGAGCAGCAAGAGAAGCAGCAUUCUUGGCAGCAUCAAGUUCUUUAUCAUACGACAUUGUAACAGCUCUUAAGGUUGAUUUAGAUGCUCUUAGAGUGAGCAAAAGUGAAAAGGGGAAGUGGGGUUUUG